rnacentral:rRNA from 1 species
GGAAUUUUCCGCAAUGGGCGAAAGCCUGACGGAGCAAUACCGCGUGAGGGAUGAAGGAUUUUGGUCUGUAAACCUCUUUUCUCAAGAAAGAAGUUCUGACGGUACUUGAGGAAUAAGCAUCGGCUAACUCCGUGCCAGCAGCCGCGGUAAUACGGGGGAUGCAAGCGUUAUCCGGAAUCAUUGGGCGUAAAGCGCCUGUAGGUUGUUUAAUAAGUCUGUUGUUAAAGACUAGGGCUUAACCCUAGGAAAGCAAUGGAAACUACUAGACUAGAGUAUGGCAGGGGUAGAGGGAAUUUCUAGUGUAGCGGUGAAAUGCGUAGAUAUUAGAAAGAACACCGGUGGCGAAAGCGCUCUACUGGACCAUUACUGACACUCAGAGGCGAAAGCUAGGGUAGCAAAAGGGAUUAGAUACCCCUGUAGUC